rnacentral:rRNA from 1 species
GAUGAACGCUGGCGGCGUGCCUAAUACAUGCAAGUCGAGCGAACGGACGAGAAGCUUGCUUCUCUGAUGUUAGCGGCGGACGGGUGAGUAACACGUGGAUAACCUACCUAUAAGACUGGGAUAACUUCGGGAAACCGGAGCUAAUACCGGAUAAUAUUUUGAACCGCAUGGUUCAAAAGUGAAAGACGGUCUUGCUGUCUGUUAUCGAUGGAUCCGCGCUGCAUUAGCUAGUUGGUAAGGUAACGGCUUACCAAGGCAACGAUGCAUAGCCGACCUGAGAGGGUGAUCGGCCACACUGGAACUGAGACACGGUCCAGACUCCUACGGGAGGCAGCAGUAGGGAAUCUUCCGCAAUGGGCGAAAGCCUGACGGAGCAACGCCGCGUGAGUGAUGAAGGUCUUCGGAUCGUAAAACUCUGUUAUUAGGGAAGAACAGAUGUGUAAGUAACUGUGCACAUCUUGACGGUACCUAAUCAGAAAGCCACGGCUAACUACGUG